rnacentral:rRNA from 1 species
CAGCUCUCCGAGUGGUAGGGAUGAUUAUUGGGCUUAAAGCGUCCGUAGCCGGCUUAGUCAGUCUCCUGUUAAAUUCAGCGACCUAAUCGUUGAGCCGCGGGAGAUACUGCUAGGCUAGGAGGCGGGAGAGGUCGACGGUACUUCUGGGGUAGGGGUGAAAUCCUAUAAUCCCGGGAGGACCACCAGUGGCGAAGGCUGUCGACUAGAACGCGCUCGACGGUGAGGGACGAAAGCUGGGGGAGCGAACCGGAUUAGAUACCCGAGUAGUCC